UACGUAGGGUGCGAGCGUUAAUCGGAAUUACUGGGCGUAAAGCGUGCGCAGGCGGUUCGUCAAGUCUGAUGUGAAAGCCCCGGGCUCAACCUGGGAACUGCAUUGGAUACUAGCGAGCUUGAGUGUGGCAGAGGGGGGUGGAAUUCCACGUGUAGCAGUGGAAUGCGCAGAUAUCAGGAGGAACACCGGUGGCGAAGGCGGGAUCCUGGGCCAGUACUGACGCUGAGGAGCGAAAGCGUGGGGAGCGAACAGG
rnacentral:rRNA from 1 species